AAAUUAAAAUUAGAUUCAUAAAACAUAAAUAAAAUCUUGACCAAAAUGAACAUCUUACAAUCUACAAUACUUGCAACAUUACUGGCUUCGGUGCUCGCCAUCAACCCAGACAAGUUUGAGCCGUGCACCCACAGAUCUCCAUGCAGACAGCUUCGGGGGUCGAUUGAUUUCAACUACAAUUACUUGGACUACUACAAUCUCUACCGGUUCAGUGGUCGAUCAUGGACGAUCAAACCUGCUGGAUACGCCAAAACGACGGUCACGAUCGCCUUCAAGGAUUUCAAACUAAAGAAAACUAUUUUUGUCGCGACGAGAUCAGGAGAGAAGACUUAUUGGAGAGAGAUCGGAUCCGACGUUGGGAAUAAAUUUGAAAUGAUUGUUUCGGACGUCAGCUCAGUUACCAUCCAUAUUCCUAGAGAUGAGACUGGAAGCUUUAAAGCUUUCUUUUAUGUUGGUUGCAGUAUCUUGACAUCUGGCAUGGAUGAGAUUGAAUUCCCCAAAGUUGGACACGUUGUCGGGAUGACAAGCACCUGCUGGAUCGUUCGACCGAUGGGAAUAAAAGAAAUGAGCAGAAUCUACCUCACAUUGAGAGACGUCUAUCUCGUCAGAGGAGCGAGCAUUUCGGUCGAAGAACUUCACACUGAGACGAAGAUUGCCAGAGUUGGGGAAACGAUGUCGUAUGACAUUUACGGCACAGACACUGUAGGUCAUGAAAUGCUUCUGGUAGACUUGGAAUGUGGUGCGGACGAGCUCGGAACUUGCGAGAAAUUCGGCAACUUGUUCUCAAUGUCGUAUUAUACCGUGAACACGAAAGACGUCAACUGCAUUGAAACUCAACGUCAUUGUGCUCUCUCACCUCGAGGGUUGCCAGAAAAAGUUUGCUCCCAGUCAUGUCCAAUCCUUGAAGAAAUGAUCGAAGAAGAAAUUUCAAAAGAGGGACCAGCAUUCCCGUGGCAGGCACCAAUACUGAAGUCAGCAACGAUAGACGACGAGGAGGAAGGCGAGAGCGAGAAUCGAACUAAAAACUCUCAAGAAAAGCCAAAACCUUCGACAGAAGAAGAAUCUGAGGAUGAAGAAGAAGACAUUGUUGAUAAGAGAAUAAAAAACCAACCAGCAAAGCCGAAACCGAAGCUGAUUCGAUGUCAAAUCAAAAACAAAUAUUGCAAAUGUCUGCGCACACAGAACGAUGCAAAGAAAUAUUGUUUUUCGAAGAGAAAAUGCAAAACUUACCGUAGAAACUGCUGGAGAGCCUGUAUAUUUGUGCGCUUUACAAUGUGCAAGGACAUGAUCGCAAAACAGUCGAUUGCCCUGUUUAGUUUGCCAGGGUAAAGUUGGAUUCUGUGCAAUCGGCUGCAUCUGGACAAGAAUUAUUCUCUGUGCAAAAAUGACGUCGGCAAGAAGCAUUAAACUAUUGUGAGAGCGGUUGAAAAGCAGAAGAAAUGUAACUUUAAUAAACACUGUUUAACGUUGAUGACGCCGGGUCAGGACUGAAAACGUUGCAACAUCAACCAUCGACAAACAACAUUCAAGUUGAACAAACCAGCAAAGUUCACAACGCAAAAGAAAGUCCUGAACUGAUUUCGAUAAUGCUAUAGCGUGAGGUCUACUACCAUAUGUCUCCCAUCAGCCAGAGUGCCCGCCACGCACGAUCUACUGCGCCCCGGGAAUAGAAUGUUCAAAUAUCUAUAUAGAUCAUUCUUAGAAAAUGUACAGUGUUUAUGUCUUAAUUAAAUAUAUAGUAAGAAGUGGUAUCCACUUGGGAUGGCGAAUGCAGCGGUAGACCUGACGCCAUAGUAUUAGCAUGAAGUAGAUUUUGCCCCACCCCAUAGUAACCCGCUAUAUUGUGGUAGAUCUUAGGCUGUUGUAGAACCCAAAUUUCUAUAUGUGAACUACCGGUAUAACAAAUAAAGAGCUGAUUUAAAAUUAAACCACACAUCGAGAUAUUUAUUUUUGCAUUUUCUUCGCCUCUUUGUACAUAUCGUGCUUUUCAACAGCUUUAUAGUUUUUUGCUUUUUGCUUUAUUUUUCUUUGCUUUUUAUAUUUAAUUUUGUUAUGUUAGCAGCAACUAUUCAAACCCAUUACGUUGCUCAAUUUUUUUUCAUAUUGAGAAUACUCGUCCGCUUAUUCAUACAAUAUUUCUCUAAAUAUCUUUGAACUCUCUCUCAGCACAACAACGUUGUAUUUAGAUUUGUUCUAUGACCCAAGGACGUUAAUUAUAAUCUGAAAAAAAAAAAACGAUAUACAGCAAUAUGCUUAAAGUAUCGGAACUCUUCUAUUAGCGCUCUUUCCAUUAUUAUCCCGGAGGAGCCUGUCCUUUUUUAUACUUGUCUACUUGACUAAUAGAAGGAAUAUUAGCAUAAAGUUCAAAUACAAAUGAUGGAAAAACUUCGAUCAAGGACUUAUAACAAGCCAUUUUAGAUGCUACGGAAACGCGUUUUCAACAUGUUUUCACCAAUAUUCGAGGGACAAUGUAUCUCGCUUCGAGUGUACUUGAAUAAUUCAAAAAAUAUAUGAACUAAAAAAUAAUAUUAGUAAUGAAGUAUAAAUUCUAGAAUAACUGUAAAAUGCAUUGUAAUCGAAGACUUGUAAUGUAUGUAAACAGAUUCAGUACUUUUACAUCUUCACGUAUCCUUAAAUACUUAUUAAAUUCCUUAACUAUUCGAUGUUUGAGAUUGGAAUAUUGUUGCCAAAUAAACCUGCAUUUUACUCUUUAUUUCAUUUUUAAUUUAUUGUUGACAUAUUUUGUUCCUAAAUAUUGUCCAUAUUCAGUUUCGUGUAAAUAUAACCUAAACCUUUACUCGA